rnacentral:rRNA from 1 species
GUGGGGAAUCUUGCGCAAUGGGCGAAAGCCUGACGCAGCCAUGCCGCGUGAAUGAUGAAGGUCUUAGGAUUGUAAAAUUCUUUCACCGGGGACGAUAAUGACGGUACCCGGAGAAGAAGCCCCGGCUAACUUCGUGCCAGCAGCCGCGGUAAUACGAAGGGGGCUAGCGUUGCUCGGAAUUACUGGGCGUAAAGGGCGCGUAGGCGGACAGCUUAGUCAGAGGUGAAAGCCCAGGGCUCAACCUUGGAAUUGCCUUUGAUACUGGCUGUCUUGAGUUUGGGAGAGGUGAGUGGAACUCCGAGUGUAGAGGUGAAAUUCGUAGAUAUUCGGAAGAACACCAGUGGCGAAGGCGACUCACUGGCCCAAUACUGACGCUGAGGCGCGAAAGCGUGGGGAGCAAACAGGAUUAGAAACCCUAGUAGUCC